UGUGUGUGUGUGUGUGUGUGUGUGUGUGUGUGUGUGAGUUUGUAAAACCUACCAACCGGGGAAAAUCGUAUGAAUACACACCAACAAACCGGGGAACACCUACCAACCGGGGAAUUCCCCGGUUGGUUUUAGGCGAAAAUCUCUAAUCUACGUGUAUGAAAUACCAAACUGUCAAUUUAAAUUAGAAAUCCAACGCCUUCCCCGAUUAGCGGGUUUGUGGCAUGCACAAAAUAUACACAAAUAUUGACCAAAUUACAAUCGAGUGUGUAUCCAGGCUUAUAACAGUUCCCCGGUUGCGCUGUUUAAAAAUCAUACACUCGGUAUUUAUAUCAUUUAGUGAAAGUAAGUUGGAAAAAUGGAGUUUCGAGCGAACAAACGCAUUAAACUAAGGUAAGCUUUUUAAUUAUGUUUACAACUUUCAAUUGCUAUUAAAAAGCGUUUUUAUGUAAACUUUAAAGUAAUACUGGAAGACGAAUUCUAAAGAUCGAUUUAUAUUAAUAUCAUUUGAUUACAAAGCUUGUUUUACGGUACAUAUUUCACGAAUAUAUUUUUUAAAUAAACGUAAAACAAUGUAGAGCUCUAGACAGUUUUUCGUUAUAUAUAUAUAACGAAAACUGCCUAGAGCUCUACAGUGUUUUACGUUAUAUAUAUAUAUAUAGUGGAGCUAUCCUACUCACCCCGGCGUCGGCGUUAGCGUGAGCGUGAGCGUUGGAAUGUUAAAGUUUGCGUACCACCUCAAAUAUUGUCUAUGUCCCUUGACAUAUUGCUUUUAUAUUUAGCAUACUUCUUUACCAACAUGACCCCAAUCUAUAAACAAGAGCAGACAACUGUAACAAGCAUUUUGUAAGAAUUAUGGCCCCUUUUCCCACUUAAAAUAUGCAUAUUAUUGAUAAAUCUUUGUUAAAGUUUACGUACCACCGCAAUUACUUUCUAUGUCCCUUGACAUAUUGCUUUUAUAUUUUGCAUACUUCUUUACCAACAUAACCCCAAUCGAUAAACAAGAGCAGACAACUGUAACAAGCAUUUUGUAAGAAUUAUGGCCCCUUUUCCACUUAGAAUAUGCAUAUUAUUGAUAAAUCUUUAUUAAAGUUGCGUACCACCUCAAAUAUUUUCUUUGUCCCUUGACAUAAGGUUUCAUAUUUUGCAUACUUCUUUACCAACAUGACCCCAAUCUAUAAACAAGAGCAGACAACUGUAAAAAGCAUUUUGUAAGAAUUAUGGCCCCUUUUUUCACUUAGAAUAUGCAUACUAUUGGUUAUUCUAUGUUAAAGUUUGCGUACCACCUUAAAUAUUUUCUUUGUCCCUUGACAUAUUGCAUUCAUAUUUUGCAUACUUCUUUACCAACAUGACCCCAAUCUAUAAACAAGAGCAGACUACUGUAAACAACAUUUUGUAAGAAUUAUGGCCCCUUUUUUCACUUAGAAUAUGCAUAUUAUUAAUAAUUCUUUGUUAAAGUUUGCUUACCACCUCAAAUAUUUUAAUUGUCCCUUGACAUGCUGCUUUCAUAUUUUGCAUACUUCUUGACCAACAUGACCCCAACUUGAAAUACAAUCUUAUUAGUUUGUUUUAUAUCUUUACAAAUGUUCAAUACAUAUGUUUUGUGGAAACCUGAACUCAGAAUCGUCUAUAAUUAACCAUUUCUUUAAAACAUAAGCGAUCAAUAUGUUUGGCUUAAACUUAUUUAUUACGACAUAGUAACAUAUUCACAAGUAACAUGGCAUUGACAUAGGAUCCAUAUGUUUCAAUUAUGGUCCUCUUCCAGUUAGAAUAUGACUAUAGUACCUUGACCUUAUUGAAUAUGAACAAUUUCCCCAUGGUGGCUUACUUUAUACUGUCAAGCACUUGAAUAGUCGAGCGCGCUGUUUUCUGACAGCUCUUGUUGUUUUUCUCAUCGACAUUUCCAUUUUAACAUUUAGUAGCCAAAAGGGUCCAAGUCCCCUUGAUCUCGCAAGAACGUACUGUCAGAAUUACGUUGAUCCACCAGGUUUUGAAGUAAAAACCGUCAAUGAUGUCAUAGGCGAAGGAGUCUUUGCCACUUAGCCUUUUAAAAAAGGAGACUUUCUUCUCGAAUACAAAGGGGAUCUGAUAACACGAGUAAAACAUGCAAUUAGAAAAGGAGUAUGAACAGGAGGGUCAAGGCAGCUUCAUUUACUUUUUUAAAUACAGAGACAAAUCUUGCUGCAUUGACGCUACCAACGAUAUAUUCCACGAGGGUCGAAUGAUAAAUGAUGCCGAAAAUGGAGACGCAAAACAAAAUUGUGUAAUGAAAAUAGUUGAAGUCAACCAAACUCCCCAUCUAUGCACUUUCGCCGACAGAGACAUUGCAAUUGGCGAGGAACUCCGAUAUGAUUAUGGAGUACCAACACUUCCAUGGAGAAAGGCAACACAAUGACUACUAGAUCUACGGACAGCCAGGAACCAGGACAAACAACAUCAAUACACACGGAAGAAGUCAAUGAGACGAAAUGUACGGAACAAAAAAGGGCAACACAAUGACUACUAGAUCUACGGACAGCCAGGAACCAGGACAAACAACCCCCGUGCACACGGAAGAAGUCGAUGAGACGAAAAGAGUACUUCAAAUACCAGGAGAACAUAACAAGCAGCCAAC